UCGAUUCCCACCUGUGGCCUUUCUGUGUGGAGUUUGCAUGUUCUCCCAGUGUGUGUGUAGGUUUCCUCCGGGUGCUCCAGUUUCCUCCCACAUUUAAAGACAUGCAGGUUAGAUGAAUUGGAAACUUUAUAAUUGUCCAGGUCUCCCUUGCAAAAGAGGUCUCAAACUCAAUGGGACUAUCCUGGUUAAAUAGAGAUAUAUU